rnacentral:lncRNA from 1 species
CUGGUUCAAGUGAUUCUCCUGCCUCAGCCUCCCGAUCCCGAGUAGCUGGGAUUACAGGCACGCGCCACCACGCCCAGCUAAUUUUUGUAUUUUUAGUAGAGACGGGGUUUCACCAUGUUGGUCAGGCUGAUCUCGAACUCCUGACCUCAAGUGAUCCACCCGCCUGAGCUUCCCAAAGUGCUGGGUUAUAAGCGUGAGCCACUGCACCCAGCCCCAAGGCUUCUUACUGCACUCAGAAUAAAAUCCAAAUGAAUUAGUAUAGCCUACAGAGUGUCAAUAAUCUGGGCCUAAUCACCCAUUGCAUCAUCCUUUACUGUGCUCCACCCAUGCUGGCGUCCUUUCUGUUUAUUGAGUGCAGCAAGCUUUAACCUGUUCGGGUCUUUCAUUUGCAGUUUACCCUGAAUAUUCCCUUUCUCUUACCUCACCUUUGAUUGGCGUUUUCCCCCUUGCAGACCUGCACUCUGGCAUCCUCUCCUGAGCAAGCCUUCUUUGAUUGCUGCCUCCCAAACCUGUUUCUCCCCAUUUCUCUAGCUCAUUGGCCUGUGUUACUUGCUUCAUAGUGCUCACUACUAUCUGAAAUCAUUUCAUUACUUGAUUUAUGUUUGUACUGUCUAUUUCUGUCUUUAGAAUUAAAACUCCUUGAGGGCAAGGACUUUGCUUCUCUGGUUCAUGGUGGGAUCCUCAUCACCCAGCACAAGCCCAACACUUAGGAGAGGCUCAGCUAGUUUGAACCAAUGGAAAAUGCCAUUCCUGAGGUGCACCACAUCGUUUCUUUUGUGUUGGUGUGCAUGCUGUCCUUCAGUUUGUCUCCUCUUCCCACACCCUGUCAUGUGCUCCUAAAACUCCCCCUUUACUUGGCUACUUUAUCUGGCUUGGCAAAGCUUUCCCAUAUCCCCUGACCCAUGUCAGGGAACGUUUCUCCUCAUUGCUGUCAUGGCACCCUGUGUGUGGCUCUGACCAGACUUUGCUAUCCGCUUUGAUUUCUGUCUUUCAGGGGCUAAGUCCUGCCUACAUCCUCAGUCAGCAUGCUGCCUAACACAUAACAGAUCCUAAGCAAAUAUUGGGUGGAUGAAAAUCACUACCAUUCAAGGCUUCAUUGUAUUUAUCAGUAAAACUGAAAUAAUAUCUAAUGGGGUCGAGAAGAUUUACUGAAAAUAUAUAUUUGAAAGGGCUUUGCAGUUUUAAGUACUGUACCUAUGUGCAUUGCUGUUACAUUCAGGAGAUUUCUGAGUUUUAGACAGUCCCAAGCUUCAGCUUAAAAUCUGUAGACUGCAGCCCGUUUCUGAAACGUUUGUACUACGUGUUGACUAGGAGGAACAAUGACAGACUCUGUAGUCACCGGAAAUACUUAAGGAAUCAUGAGGUACUAUGUAUUUCCUUAAAUUAUACUGUUUUUUAAAGCUGAAGUAUCUAAUAGUUAAUGGGUUGUCCAAAUUUGUCAGAACAUUUGACUGUAAUUUAAUGUCUCACCA